rnacentral:rRNA from 1 species
AUACGUAGGUGGCAAGCGUUAUCCGGAAUUAUUGGGCGUAAAGAGUGAGCAGGCGGUUAAUUAAGUCGGAGGUUAAAGCGUGGGGCUCAACCCCAAAAAGCCUUGGAAACUGAUUGACUAGAGUACGGGAGAAGUGAAGGGAACUCCAUGGUGAGCGGUGAAAUGCGUAGAUAUAUGGAAGAACACCAGUGGCGAAGGCGCUUCACUAGCCCGAAACUGACGCUCAGUCACGAAAGCGUGGGUAGCAAAUAGGAUUAGAUACCCUAGUAGUCCACGCUGUAAACGAUGACAACUAAAUAUUGCCGCGAGGCAGUGUUGAAGCUAACGCAUUAAGUUGUCCGCCUGGGGAGUACGGUCGCAAGACUGAAACUUAAAGGAAUCGACGGGG